GACGAACGCUGGCGGCGUGCCUAAUACAUGCAAGUCGAACGAAACUUUCUUACACCGAAUGCUUGCACUCACCGUAAGAAGUUGAGUGGCGGACGGGUGAGUAACACGUGGGUAACCUGCCUAAAAGAAGGGGAUAACACUUGGAAACGGGUGCUAAUACCGUAUAUCUCUAAGGAUCGCAUGAUCCUUAGAUGAAAGAUGGUUCUGCUAUCGCUUUUAGAUGGACCCGCGGCGUAUUAACUAGUUGGUGGGGUAACGGACUACCAAGGUGAUAAUACGUAGCCGAACUGAGAGGUUGAUCGGCCACAUUGGGACUGAGCCACGGCCCAAACUCCUACGGGAGGCAGCAGUAGGGAAUCUUCCACAAUGGACGCAAGUCUGAUGGAGCAACGCCGCGUGAGUGAAGAAGGUCUUCGGAUCGUAAAACUCUGUUGUUAGAGAAGAACACGAGUGAGAGUAACUGUUCAUUCGAUGACGGUAUCUAACCAGCAAGUCACGGCUAACUACGUGCCAGCCGCCGCGGUAAAAC
rnacentral:rRNA from 1 species